rnacentral:lncRNA from 1 species
UGAUGAUAAAUUUCGCAAGUGCACGAAAAUCACGUAGUAAUAAAAUAUCGAUCCACAGGGAUUGUGUGAUCAAACUAGUCGAAUCGUGUUCAUAGACAUUAUACAGAAAAUACACAUAAAUUGGGGGUAUGUUGAGUAAUGAAUUGCUAGAAAAUGUGCUUUGAUAAUAUGGAAAGGCGAGGUAGAAUCAUCGGAAUCAUCUAGUCUAUAGCUAACCGCAUGCAACCUACAAUGUAUAAGAACUACUCAAGUAUUCACAACUAGAUCGACA